rnacentral:lncRNA from 1 species
AGUAUUCCAGAUUCUAUUGGAAGUUUGAUCCAUCUAAGAAUGCUUAAUCUUGAUAAGACUGACAUAUCUGAUAUUCCUGAGUCCAUACAUUGCCUUAUUAACCUUCAGAUAUUGAACUUGGAAGGUUGUCAUGCUUUGCAUAAUCUUCCUUUGGCUAUCACUCGAUUAUGCAACCUAAGGCGCCUAGGUCUUAAUGGGACGCCAAUAGAUCAGGUUCCAAAAGGGAUAUCUAAAUUGAAGUUUCUCAAUGAUUUAGAAUGCGCUCCAAUUGGCUGUGACAAUGUUAAUAGUAAUAAGGUGCAAGAUGGAUGGAGCCUAGAGGAGUUGGGUCCGCUUCUGCAGAUGAGGAGGCUUAUUAUGAUAAAAUUGGAGAGAGCAAGUCCUGUUUGCGCAAAUACAUUGCUGGUUGACAAAAAGUAUCUCAAACAUUUAAGAAUGUCAUGCACAGAAGAACGCGGAGAUCAACCAUAUUCUGAAGAGGAUGUUACCAACAUUGAGAAGGUGUUUGAGCAGCUAAUCCCUCCACAAAAUUUGGAAGCAUUGCGUAUUUGGCAUUUUUUCGGUCAAAGGUAUCCCUACUGGCUAGGCACUACUCAUUUGUCCUCACUGAAAUACUUCACCCUCGAAGGUUGCAAGUCCUGUGUGCAUCUUCCACCACUGGGGCAGCUCCCCAACUUAAAAUAUCUCAAAAUAAACCAAGCCUUUGCAGUUACUAAGAUUGGGCCCGAAUUUUUUGGUAAUUCCAGAUCAACUAAGAUCGUAGCUUUCCCCAAGCUUGAGGUGUUGCUAUUCUAUGACAUGCCUAAUUUGGAGGAGUGGACCUUUGUAGUUGAAGAAGAAGAAGCAAUAGCAGCAGGUAAGGAAGGUGAAGAGGAUGGAGCUGCUGCAAAGCAAAAGGGGGAAGCCCCACCUCCAAGGAUGCAGCUGCUGCCACAUUUGGAGAAGCUGGAAAUUAUCUGCUGCCUGAAGCUGAGAGCUCUUCCACGACAGCUUGGACAGGAGGCCACCAGCUUGAAGAAGCUCCAAUUAAGACACGUGAACAGCCUUAAGGUUGUGGAGGAUCUUAUGUUCCUCUCUGAUCUCCUUUUAAUUGCGAAUUGUGAAAGCCUGGAGAGGGUGUCAAAUCUACCGCAAGCAAGAGAGCUGCGUGUGCAGGGCUCUCCAUGCUUGACGUGUAUUGAGAAGUUGGACAACCUGCAGCUGUUGGGUCUGCACGAGAGUAUGCAAGAGGUCUCCUCACUGUGGCUGCCUAGGCUCCAACAGCAGUGCAGGCAAGUUCAUGGUGAAGAUUUCGAUGUAUUUAAUUGGACAUGAGAUGGCAUACAUCUCUCACAACAAUAUGGCUACUAAGAUGCAAGGUGAGGAUAGGCUCAGUAUUUGAAUUUGGUUGCAUUUUACGUCUCCCCCUGCCUUCAGUUUUGUCCCCUGUUCUUCUUUCCCUUUUCCUUUUAUCACAGGUCAUUGACUACCUGUAUUCAUAAUGUUGCAUGAGGGCAGGACAGGCUACACUACGCUUUAUGCAAGGCCGGAUAGUGGAGACGAAUAUAAUGUUCCAUGAUGAGGUCUUGUGGUGGAGGACCUCUCGUUAGUAGAGAAGUUCUUAAUCGGUGGGUGCGAAAGCCUGGAGAUGGUCUUGAAUCUUCCCAAGGUGCGACAGCUGUGGGUAAGUUGCUGUCCAAGUUUAAGGCAUGUGGAGUUGGACAGUUUGGAGCAGCUGUGGCUGGAUAUGGAUGUGCAGGACCUCGCUUCUCAGUGGGUGCCUGGGCUUAAACACCAACGCCAAAAACACCAUGGCGAAUACCUCUCUUCUUUGGCUCAUGGGAAAGCUUGUUUAAUCUUGUUCAAGCUAGUGUUUGGCUAUUCUUGUGUGCAUGUCUGAACAAAAUGUGUGCUACUUACUUGAGUUUCUCGAUUAAUUCAUUCUGUGUGAUGGGUUUGUAUUCCUUGUACUUCGUGAACUUGUAAUGUCAACUUCAUCUGCUGUUAAACUCUGUCAACUUGUAAUGGCUACUUGAGUGUUUGGCUAUCCUUGUGUGCAUGUCUGAAUAAAAUGUGUGCUACUUGAGUGAUGCGUUUGUAUUCCUUGUACUCCGUGAACUUGUAAUGUCAACUUCAUCUGAUGUUGCAUGAUUUCUGUUGCCAACUGAGCACUUGUUUUGUUACCACUGCUAUUACUCGUUCCCCUGCUACUCGUUCUCCUGCUUAGUUCCGUGAUGCAUCUUAUUUCAAACAAUCAAGUCGUCCUGUGAACAGUGAACCAAAAUUGUUUUGCAGUAGAAACAAGAAAUGCGGGUUAGCUCUAAAAAUCAUAUCUUGGCUGGUGCCUAUGCCACUUCUCUGUCGUCAAUUUGUCACAUACUUACAUGUCCUUUCAUUGUGAUGCGAUUACAUUUUUUUUGGGUGCAAUCAAUUUCUUCCGUUCUGUUCUAAAAAAAAUUCUUCUGUUCAUGGGACAAAUUUCCGUACAAAUUCGUGCAGCUAGAGAAGGCACGAGCCGUCAUUAGUCAAUACUUAGGUAGCUGCAGUUCUGAGCAUCUACUGAAAUUCUGUUCUCUUUGCAGCUACUCUGUUUUCUUCGAACCCUGCUUGAUUCAGUACCAACACAAGACAGCUAGCCGGAUCAUGUAGCGUGGUCGCUCUACUACAGAUGAACCUCUGAACAUUAAUUUCCUUUGUUUCUAUGCAUCAUGCAGUUGUUAAAACAAUAAGAAACCAACUAAUUUCAUCAUGUUUAUUCAACAAUAAGAAACCUAUGAACAUUGAUGGACUAGAAUGUUGAACACCAAGUUUGUGAAAAGAGUUAUUCUCAGAACUAGAGUUGGCAUGCAUGAAUCAAGGAAAAGAGCUGCUCCAGAGCUAUCUUGAAGCUUUCUCCUCCAAGUGCAGGGAGUAAUAGAACAGAGCAGAGAACAGCUGCACUGCAAAGGCUCCCUCUGCACUUCCAGGAAGACUGAUUGGACUGAGAAAACAUGUGGUUGGACUUUUGACUGAGGUGAACGAUUGUUGACUAGGAAGGCAUGAGGUUGGACAUCUCAUUCGACCCGCUAAAACAAGAAUUAUUGUUGACUAAGAAAACAUGAGGUUCGACCUCAGAUGGAAUUUGUCGGAUUCAAAGGGCACUACGGGGAACAGGUGCUUUGCCGUGUGCCCAGAAAAACCCUCGGCGGCACUCGGCACAAAAAGUGCCGGCAAAGUGUAUUUGUCGAGUGUUUUAUGUCGAACACUCGGCAAAACUUUAAAAAAACAAAUUCCCACCGCGGCCACCACGCCAGCCACCACUACCACCACGCCGCCACGCCCGCUGCCGCCCGCCACCACGCCUGCUACCGCCUGCCAUGGCCGCCGCCCACCACGCCGCCACAUCGGGCUGGGAGGGGAGGUGCCGCUGCCGGAUCCGGCCGGGAGAGGAGGGGCGUCGGGAGAAGUGGAGGGGUCGGCGGCCGGGGGAAGGAGGGGCGGCCAGGCCGCCACCGGAUCCGGCCAGGAGGGUCCGCGCCGCUGCCAGCGAGAAGGGGAGGGGGCGUCGUUGGGGGAAGAAGGGGCGGCCGGGCCGCCGCCGGAUCCGGUCGGGAGGGGCCGCACCACCGCCGGGGAGAAGGGAAGGGGGCAUCGCCGGGGGAUAGGAGGGGCGGCCGGGCCGCCGCCGGAUCCGGCCGGGAGGACCUGCGCCGCCGCCGGGGAGAAGGGGAUGGGGCGUCGCCAGGGGAAGGAGGAGCGCUGGGGAGAAGGCCGGAGGGGGCGGGGCGCGUGAAUGGGAGCUAAGGGGGCGGGGCGCGUGGGUGAGGCCGGGAGGGGGCGCUGGGUUAAUAAGUGCGGGAUUUUUUUGUUUGCUAAUGUCCUAGAUCUGGACACGGCAAAGGUUUUUUUUCAUUUUUUUUAUUCUCCUUUUCCAGAAAAAAAGUUUUUAUUUUUUUGCCGAGCAUAAAAAAUAAAAGACUCGGUAAACUCCCUUUUUGCCGAGUGUUUUUUUAACACUCGGCAAACCCCCUCUUUGCCGAGUGUUUUUUUCUGCUGAGUGUUUUCAGCGCAGCACUCGACAAAGAAAUUGUUCGCCGAGUGCCUGAGGAAAUACACUUGGCAAAUAUAAAAACACUCGGUAAAUUUUACGUUUUCGGUAGUGGGGCCACUUUCAUAUUUUCUCCAUUCUAAAGGAUUGGAGGCUUUGGUCAGUUUUGUAUUCAUUUCUCUGCAAAAGAAACGUACUUAGAUGCCUCCAAUGGUGUCCAUGCUUAGUUACAAUGACCUAACUGAAUCAAUUGAACGAUAGAUAGAGAAUAAUGUAAUUUUUUUAUCAGCCAGGACAAAAGGAACGACUUCUACUGAACUCACCACAGAACAAAGAGGCCAAGGCCUGGUGGCCUUAUCGUCACGCAUCUCGCUACUAAGUAGUGAUCACACACCAAAUAAAACUGUUGGAGCCUAAAAUUGGCAGCGCCGCCAAUCUGGCCCAAAAGCCGAUCUGGCAAGCGAAACCGGUCCGACCGGUUUGCCUCACCGGUCAGACUGGUCUGCCCUAAUCCGAAAAGAAAUUGAGAGUCCCGGUUGAAUUGGACUUGAAACGGGAUUUCUUGCGGGAAUAGACCUCCCACCCUAUAAAUAUAGAGGGUCCUGGCCGAUUGAGGGCUAACACCCAAUCGACAAACAUAUCUUUUACUUUUUAUCUCCAAACCCUAGCUUUUCCAACCCCUUGCUUCCCUCCUUCGUCUCGACGGCGGUUGAGGAAGCUCUGAGUGGCCUGACCGAUCUCAGAGCAACCCUAAGCGCACCAACUCCGAUGGGGUCCCUCCUGAGGCGGCAAUCUUAGGUUUUGGCCGACGCUCAGUAGCAGACCGGUCUGACGGCCUGCUAGACUAGUCUGAUCGGCCUCGUCCAGCGAGCAUCGACGAGGUGAUCAUUUCACACGCGCGACCUAGCGCAUUCGUGUGUUGACCCGAAAAGGCGUCAACACAUUUUGGCGACUCCGCUAGGGAAGAAGAUCUAGUUUUACAACCGUUCCAGAAACCCUAGCAUAAUGGGAUCUACUACGGACCUUGACAAGGACAACAUCAUCACGACCUCCGUGGAGGAUCUCAGUGAGGAGGAGCAGCGGAACCUUGCGAUGCUCCAAGAAUAUAUUAAGAUGCAAUAUCUCAUGGGCAUCAAGAAGGAUCAUAAGGGCAAGAUGACGAGAACGUAGGACUUUGAGUUGCUCGCGAUCAAGAUGAAGGAUAGAAUGGUCGAGGAAAUACGCAAUGUAAGUAAUCUCCCCUCUGACUAUACCGCCGUUAACGAUGAGCUUUGUAAAAGCCUUGCUGAUCAAAAUAGAAUCACUAAUACGUUAAUGGCUCAAAUAGAUCAACUUGCAGGGAAUAGAUCCGUUCUAGCGACAAAAACGAUUUUCUGCAAGUUGACUCACGUGGGGUCAUGCAAACUAGUUCAUCAGCAAGUAUGGGUGCCAUCCCUGGAUCACGUAUGGCAUGCCGUUGAACUUUUACUCAGGACAAACACCGCCUCGGACCCAGCCGCAACAGCCGAACACAGCUAAACCGGUCAGACCGGUCCAGGCGACCGAUCAAACCGGUCAGGCCUCCCAGGCCAGCCAGCUGGCCGUCAUUCCCGAGAUGCCCGUGCCGAUCGCCGUUGUGCCUAGCUCGGUCACCCCUUGCCGUGUUGGUGAUUAUGGGGUCCACCCAUCCUCGUUUAGCACAAUAGCUUACACGUCGCCUUCAAUUCCCCACAACAUUAUUGCAUCUAGAGGGGUCUCGAAUGACGUGUUUUCUGAUUUACACCGCAUUCAGAACGGCAACCCACUCAAUGUGAGCACUGUGAAUACUUCAGCCCAAGAGCAAUCAGAGAUACCCACCUUGCGCAAGAUUAGAAAAUUCAGGGAGGAGGUACUAGCUUUGAUGCAAAGCAAAUACGGCACAGACACUGGGAGUUUAAAAUUAUAUCAAAAGCCGUAUCAAGCUGAUUUUGACUAUGUUCCCUACCCGGUCAGUUGGCGCAUACCCAAUUUUGUUAAAUUCAGUAGCGAGGAUAACUGAACUACUUGGGAGCAUAUUAGUCAGUAUCUGGCUCAAUUAGGCGAAGCGGGUUACUAUAAUGCUUUACGUGUGCAUUUAUUUUCUUUAUCAUUAACUGGAAUUGCUUUCGCUUGGUACUCUUCUUUAGCUCCUGGCUCUAUUGAUUCGUCGGAACAAUUAGAGCAAAAAUUUCAUGAUCACUUUUACACCGGGAACUUUCAAUUGAAGUUGACAGACUUAACAUCGGUUAGGCAAGGUAAAGAAGAAUCUAUCUUUGAUUACGUAAGAUGAUUCAAGGAAACAAAAAACCGUUGUUUUAAUUUGUCGCUUACCGAUAGUGAUUUGGCCGACCUCGCGCUUAAGGGUUACCGAUAGUGAUAGAUCCUUCAUUAGAGAUUGGCUAGAAGGCUUUGAGAUUCACACUAUUGCGCAAGUGUUAAUGAAAGCUUCAACAAUGGAGCUUAGAAUUGCUAAAGAAAAGGAUAACUUCAAGUCACGUCGAUCUAAUAUGCACACCAUAGAGUAUGAUUCCGAUAGUUCGAACGACGAUGACAAUGAAGUUUACAUUACCAAAUUUGUUUGGACUUCUAAGGCUAAGUCUUACUCUUGUGCAUCACUUAAGCUGGCUCAAAAGAGUCGGUAGGAGGUAAAGUUUACUUUUGAUGUUUCUAAGUGUGAUCGCAUUUUUGAUGAAUUACUUAAGCUUGGACACUUGAAAAUAACUCAUACCAUGCCUCCACUUGAAGAACUGAAAAAGAAAGCAUAAUGUAAGUUUCAUAACAGUUUUUCUCAUGCUACUAAUGACUGCAAUGUGUUUCGUUGAUAGGUUCAAUCGGCUAUAAAUGAAGGCCGGUUGACUUUCCAUGAGAUGCAAGUGGACAAGACGUCAUUUCCUGUCAACAUGAUGGAUAUUCAGCAACCUAAGGUACUGGUUCGGCUGUACCAAGCCGAAGCAACUAAGGAGAAAAAUGUGGUAAUCGGGGAAGAAAAGCCCGAUUUAAGAGGCAAGGAGUUGAUAAGAGAAGUGGUGUAUGAGAAGACUCCUGAUGGCAGGGAGUCAUUCAAAAUUACUGUGAAAGCCUCUAGACACGGGGGGCAAACCUCGCACUCAGGACCUGGUCAGAAGCCGAUCGAGCCAGUCGGUCAGGCUGGACCAGUGAGACCGGUUCAGGACACCGGUCAGACUGAUCUGACACAGAACCAUCCUCAAAUGCUGAAACCCAAGUGUCCGGAGAUCGGGACCUAGAAGCUCAACUUGGCAAAGGAUCAGGGGAGCAGCCCCAGGGGAAAAAUCACAUUUGAUAUGCUUCUGUGCAAGUAUACCAAGGAAAAGGCCAUUCCGAGCAAUCGGCCGGUAAAGAAGAGAAUGAGGUCACCCGCUCACCAAGAAAGGCAAGGCUCACUGCCGAGAGCAGUUGUUAGAUAGAGGGGUGAUCAGGUAAAACAAAGGAGGCAUCCCUCCACAUCUUGGGCUCCUCAAGUGCCAAAUCCUUCGUGCCCAAUGUCGGAUGAUAAUGGGGUGAUGUGGGUGCCGUAUCAGUCUGUGCAAUAGCCACCUUUCCAUCCUGGAUGGGGAAACUCUAGAAAGUCAGCUUUAGAUAGAAUCUCGCACCCUGUGCACGGCCGGUGGGCUCCUCACCUAUCUGGCUAGGGUCAGCAGACCCGACUGGUCAGACCGGUCUGUCAAGGCACCACGCGUCUCUUCCCCUAGGAAAGUUUAUUGUCCCAAGAAAAGGGAAGGGGAAGUUCAGAAGGUAGAAGCAGACCCAAAGAAAGACAGAGAAGAAGCUGUCACACAGAUUGGGUCUAUGAAGGUUCCCAUUGAAGCUAAUACGGAAAGGCCGAUUGAUAUAAGCAAUCCGGUCUCAGCUCCUGUUCAGAAAAUAUCCACUGCCAAUGAUCAUGAAGCUAGCAACAGUGGAUCGAAUCCUAAAUACUUUUUACCUUAGUGGUGUCCUCCCGGGUUGACUCGCACGCAAAGGAGGAAGUUGCAGAGGCUCAGGUUGCAGGAGAAGAGGGAACAGGAGCUGGAGGAACAGAGGGAUGAGGCAUUCAACAGGUACAGACCCAUGGCACCUCAGAAGAAGGAGUGGAGAACAAAGGAUGAUGCCCAGGCUACACCGGUCAGACCAGUUGAGGAACCGGUCAGACCGGUCAGAGCGUCUGAGCCAGCUCCUGAACCGAUCAGACUGGUCUAGGAACCGGUCAGAUCGGUCCAUCAAAAACAUCACCCGUUUCUGCUCUUUCUGAUUCUAUGGUUGACGACAACGAGUUGGCAUCAGUCCAUGAGGCAGAGGAUGAUGAACAACUUGUUGAUUACAGUUCUUCUCCUGAGAGGAUGACGCUGGACAUAAAUGUGGUGGAUAUGUCAAUGGACGGGUAUGUGCUCUCAGAGGAGGAUAUGGCUCACCUAGACUUUGGGCCUAAGGAAGUGGUGUUCCAGAAGCCUAAGGACGCUGAGAACCAUCUAAAGGUGUUGUAUAUGUGAGGUCCAAUCAAUGGAAAGCCAAUUUCUCAGAUGUUGGUUGAUGGAGGGGCAAUUGAGACUUGAUGCCCUACUCUUUGUUCAAGAAAUUGGGAGGUUCAAAUGAGGAGCUAAUCAAGACCAACAUGACUAUCAACAGUGUGGGAGGAGGCAAGCCUAUGGGAGAGAAAGGCGUUGUCUCUAUGGAGCUCACCGUUGGGAGCAAGACGUUGGCUACUGCUUUCUUCAUCGUCGAAACCCAAGGUAACUUCAGUUUAAUCUUGGGUCGUGAUUGGAUACAUGCAAAUCAAUGCGUUCCUUCUACUUUACAUCAAUGCUUGAUUCAGUGGAUUGGUGAUGAAGUAGAGGUAGUUCAUGGUGAUACAUUGGCUUGUAUUGCUAUAGCCGAUAGUUUUACCGUAAGUACUCAUGAUAAUGUUAGGUGUUUGUCUGGCAUAGAUCUUUCUGAUUGUGAAUACAUUAGUUGCACAAAAGAUGGCUUUGUCGCUGCUGUAUUAAAGCCAAUUGAUGAUCGGCUAGCUUAUCGCAUUUGAUAUGACAGAUGUAAAUUUAGAAUGGUUGCAGCAGAGGCUAGAACACUAUCAAGCGCAGAAGAAUGAUAUGUGUGAGGCCAUUGAGGACCUUGAUGACAUGAGUAAAUUAGGACAAGGAUUCACAUCAGCCGAUCCUUUAGAGGAGGUGGAUAUUGGUGAUGGUAUUGUACUAAGGCCGACGUUUGUAAACAAAAAUCUUGAGCCUGCUCUUAAGGCCGAUUUAAUAAAAUUCUUAAAAGAGUAUGUCGACUGUUUUGCAUGGAAUUACACUGAAAUGCCCGGUUUAAGCCAUGAGCUAGUUGAGCAUCGGCUGCCUAUCAAGACUGGUUUUAGGCUACAUAAACAAUCUGCUAGGCGUUUUAAUCUUGUUAUUUAUGACCGAGUAAAAGAAGAAAUUAAUCGGUUGCUCAAUGCUAAGUUUAUUAGGCCUUGUCGAUAUGCUGAUUGGGUUUCUAAUAUUGUACCUGUUGAGAAGAAAGGUAUAGGCAAGCUCUGUGUAUGCAUUAAUUUAGAGAUCUUAAUAGAGCUUCGCUUAAAUAUGAAUAUCCUAUGCCUAUAGCCGAUGUACUUAUUAAUGUUGCAUCUAGUCACAAAAUGAUUAGCUUCCUUGAUGGCAAUGUUGGGUACAAUCAAAUCUUUAUGGCCGAAGAGGAUAUAUCCAAAAUGGCCUUUGUGUGUCCAGGCUUUGUCGGUUUGUUUGAGUGGAUUGUUAUGACAUUCGGGUUGAAAAAUGCUAGUGCUACUUAUCAAGGGCUAUGAAUUUAAUUUUUCAUGAUUUGCUUAGAGUAGUGCUGGAAGUAUAUAUCGAUGACAUUGUUGUAAAAUCGGCUGGGCCUGAAUCCCAUUUGGCUGAUUUGAGACUAGCAUUGGAAAUAAUGCAUCGGUAUGGUUUAAAGAUGAAUCCACUCAAAUGCGCUUUUGGUGUAUCGGCUGGGAAAUUCUUGGGGUUUGUAGUGCAUGAGAAAGGAGUUUAGAUUGAUCCUAAGAAGAUUGAAUUUAUCAAGAAACUACAAGCUCCAACCUGCAAAAAAGAGUUGCAAAAGUUCUUGGACAAGGUGAAUUACUUGAAGAGAUUUAUUUGUAACUUGUCCGGAAAGGUGAAUGCAUUUACUCCUUUACUUCGGUUAAAAGACGAAGUUGAUUUUACAUGGUACUCCUUUCAAACUUUAUAUAGCUACCGAAGCGGGUGUUAUUGGGGCUGUCUUAACUGAAGAAACUGAAGGAAAGGAGCACGUUGUUACUUAUGUAAGUAAGAGACUAUUGGAUGCCGAGACCAGGUAUACUUUUAUUGAAAAAUUGUGCUUAUCAUUAUAUCACGCUUGUACCAAGUUGAGGCAUUAUUUAUUAUCAAAUACUUGCAUAGUAGCUUGUCAAACCGACAUAAUUAAAUACAUGUUGCAAGAACCUAUUUUGAGUGGUAGAAUUAGCAAAUGGGCUUAUGCUCUCAUUGAAUAUGAUCUGGUUUGCGAACCAUUGAAAUCAAUGAAGGGUCAGGUUGUGGCCGAUUUUAUUGUUGAACAUAGAAUUAAUAAGCAACUUGAUUUGGAUGUCGGUUAUGUUACUUUUACCCCUUGGAAGUUGCACUUUGAUGGAUCGGUACGUAAAAGUGGUUGCGGUAUUGGUAUGGUGCUUAUUUCACCCAACGGGGCUGUUUUUGAGUUACUUAGCCGAUUGGAUCACAAGUGUACCAAUAAUCAAACUGAAUGUGAAGCAUUGUUAUUUGGUUUGGAAAUUUUGCAAGAGAUGGGGGUAAAUCAUGUUGAGGCUUAUGGUGAUUCUUUACUGGUGGUACAGCAAGUAUCCAAGGUAUGCCAAUGUUUAGACGGUUUUCUAAUGCUUAUCUUGAUAAAUGUCUAGGCAUCAUAUCUUGUAUGGACGAAUUUGUUAUUUAUCAUGUAGCAAGGGAAGAGAAUCCGAGGGCUAAUGCUCUGGCACAACAAGGGUCAGGUUACAACGUUCAUAAAAGAAAUUUUUAUGAAAGAAAAACGACGCUUUACGAAGCCGAGUGUUGCAGCCUGGAAGAACCGGUCCGACCGGCCUCCAAAACCGGUCUGACCGGUCUGUUUGGAGAAAACUCCGCUUCGGCCAUAAACCGUCCCGAAUUUGCUAAGGACAAAGUGGAUGAUUGGAGAACACCUCUGCUUAAUUAUUUGCGGGAUCCUAAGUGCUUGGUCGAUAGAAAAGUCUGACGGUGGGAGCUUAAGUUCACUUUGAUAGAGGGUGAGUUGUAUCGUCGAAUGGUCGAUGGGUUGUUGUUGAAAUGCUUAGAUUCCGAUCAAGCAAGGCUAGCUAUGGCAGAGGUGCAUGAAGGAGUUUGUGGUACGCAUCAAUUGGCUCGUAUGAUGAAAUGGCUCCUGAAGCGAGCUUGUUUCUAUUGGCCUAAUAUGAUAGCCGAUUGUUUUCGCUACUACAAAGGCUGUGAAGAGUGUCAAAGGUUCGGAGAUGUUCAGUUGGUGCCUGCUUCAUUAAUGCAUUCAAUUAUAAAGCUAUGGCCAUUUAGAGGAUGGGGAAUGGAUUUCGUCGGCAAGAUUCAUCCGUCUUCAUCAAAUGGACAUUGUUUUGUAAUUGUGGCCACUGAUUAUUUCACCAAGUGGACUGAAGCAAUUCCCCUUAAGAACAUGACACAUCGAGAGGUGAUUGAGUUUAUUAGUGAGCAUAUUACACACAGGUUACAGACAAGGGGACUUCAUUUAUAUCUAAAGAGAUGCGUGAGUUUGUGAAUCCUAUGAUAUUAAAUUGCUCAAUUCAUCUCCUUAUUAUGCUCAAGCCAAUGGUCAAGCCGAGUCUAGCAAUAAGAUAUUGAUCAAGCUCAUCAAGAAGAAGAUAGAGGAUAAUCCCAAGAGAUGGCUCGAGGUAUUAUCUGAAGCUUUAUGAACUCAUCGUAUUUCUAGACAUGGUGCGACUAAAGUUACUCCUUUCGAGCUUGUCUAUGGUCAAGAGGCCGUUUUGCCUGUUGAGGUGAAUCUGGUUGCAUAUAGGGUAGCUAACCAAAAUGAUCUCGAUUUUGACACCUAUUAUGCUUUGAUGAUGGAUAAUAUUGACGAGGUGACCGACAAGCGGAUGGAGGCCUUGGUAGAAAUAGAAAAGGACAAAAUUCAGGUGGCAAGGGCAUACAACAAGAAAGUUAAGGCCAAAACAUUUUAGGUAGGAGAUCUGAUUUGGAAGACAAUUCUACCUAUAGGAACCAAGAGCAAUAAAUUUGGAAAGUGGUCUCCAAGUUGGGAGGGCCCUUACAAGGUUACGACAGUGCUCCGAGGGAAUUCUUAUAUGGUGGAGACUCUGAAUGGAUUUCAACUACCAAGAGCUCUGAAUGGGAGGUACUUGAAGAAGUAUCAUUCGAGUCUUUGGCAAGAUGCUUAAAGGAAAUGGCCAGUAUUUUGACAUAUCGCCCUUAGGAGAAAAUGGCCAGUGGGAUUCAUCGGCCUCAGUUUAUUUCUUGGUACGCAAGCUUUACAAAGAAACAGGGGGCAUGUGUUGGAGCCCAAAAUUGGCAGUGCCGCCGAUCUGGCCCAAAAGGCGAUUUGGCAGGUGAAACUGGUUUGACCGGUUUGCUUGACCGGUCUGCCCUAAUCCGGAAGGAAAUUGAGAGUCCCGAUUGAAUUGGAGUUGAAAUGGGAUUUCUUGCGGGAAAAGACCUCCCAUCCUAUAAAUAUAGAGGGUCCUGGCCAAUUGAGGGCUAACACCCAAUCGACAAACAUAUCUUUUACUUUUUAUCUCUAAACCCUAGCUUUUCCAACCCUUUGCUUUCCUCCUCGUCUCGACGGUGGUUGAGGAAGCUCUGAGUGGCCUGAUCGAUCUCAGAGCAACUCUAGGCGCGCUACCUCCAACGGGGUCCCUCCUGAGGUGGCGAUCUUAGGUUUUCGUCGAUGCUCAGCAGCAGACCGGUUUGACCGGCCUCGUCUAGUGAGCAUCGACGAGGUGAUCGUUUCACACACGCGACCUAGCGCAUUGGUGUGUUGACCCAAAAAGGUGUCAACAAAAACCAAACACCCACGAAGGCAAGAGAUGUCAACAAAGAUGGCAUGCAUAUUUCCUUGAAUAUAUAUGACAUGGGACAAUUAAUUUACAUUUAUACUGCUAUGAGUUUUACUAAAAAACUGUUUGGAUCCAGAGCUAAACUUUAGUCGAUCAAGUAAACUUUAGUUCAUUAGCCCUCCAAACCUAACUAGCUAGUGGAGGCUAAUUUUAGACAUGAACGGCAAACGAAAGAAAAUACCCACCACUAAAAUCUUAACAUUUUGUCUCCUACAACCCCUAUGGAUAGAAUGGACAUUUCCUAAUAAAUGGGCUAAAAAUUAGCUCUACCUCCAAACAAGAUAGGGUUAUAUUUGCCAACUAAAGUUUGAUGUCUAAACUUUAGUUUUAGUCCAUCCAGACAGGCUGAUACCACCACCUUGAUUUGGGUUCCGAAGUAUAAUCUAGACAAAAUAAAAAUUUUAGCACCGGUCUUAUGUGUGUUUAUGAGGGGAAAAAAACAAAAGUUAUGUUUUUGAUACAAUGGUUUCAGAUCUCCAGGUUGAAGAUGAACUUAACUAGGCAAUAAUUUAGGGUGGCAAGUGAACUUGUGUAACUACCUUAAUAUAUGGUGCUUUUUUUAGGGGAAAAUAUGAAAGCCAAGGUAGUUGAUGUAUAGUGGAUAGAAUUAUUCUAGGUUGAAAAUGGGCAUCCUGUUUGGUUGAAAGGAAAAGCUAUUGAUAUAGUUGUUUCAAAAUUCUAGGUUCAUGAAUGGAUUAGUACAGAUUUUACAAUAUUUAUAAACAGGAUCCAGUUGGUGUGGCUAUGACUUACAUUUUGAAAUGAAGGGAGUAGAAUGCAAGAAGCAUAUGUACAAUCUAGAAGAGAAUUGGGUCUCUUUGGUACGGAACUAUGAUACAAGUAGCAAGAGACGUCCCGUAUGUGAUUUUGUUGUUGCACGAUUCAUGAAUGCAUGAUAGAAGUAGCAAGAGACGAUUCGUGAAGAUGCAUGGACCAGCAUCAUGAAACUGAGAACAUGAUGGAUCGAGGCGGCGGCGCGCGUGUUGAAUGUGUUCCGCCUGCAGGCCGCGACGAUGUGCUUGAGAACAGCACGCGUCACGUACAUACGCGUGGCAGUAGCUCGAUCAGCUCUGUCCCUGUUACGGCCGGGAAACUGGAAUUCCAUCUUAUAGAUUCGUCAAGGUCAUCGUGGCGUUUCUAGAUUCGUCAAGGUGGCGUUUCUAGAUUCGUUUCAUCUUUCACCAUGCAAUAGCACGCCCAGAGAGUGAAGAAUCAAAGCAUGUGGGACGACCCAUUCACAGUAGUAGUCAACGUGGAAUGAAUUAAUAACCGGCUGUGUUAUGGUGUGCACGAGUGGAAGAAAUUAGAAAGUCCGAUUGCAACGUUACUGCGUUACUUUUGUUACCUUUAAUGGACCUCAAAUCUGCAGCUUGAAGAACAGGGAAGGUCCGUGAAUGCAUCAAUGCAUGCGCCGGAGGAUAUCGGGAACAAGAUAUGCAUAUACGGGAGUUCUGGGAAAAUAAUAAUUACAUAAAAAUUACAAAAUUAUCCCUAGGGUCUGUUUGUUUGGGCUUUCCAGCAGCUUUCCACCCUAAGAAGUCGAAAGCUCGAACAAACGAUCAGCUUCUGGGCUGAGCUUUCCGAAAUCCAAAAUCUCACAGAAGCUAUGAUUCAUGGAAAACCCAGAAGCAGUGAAAUGUGAGCUUUCCGUAGCUUUUUACGUCAAGGUCGCGAAAAUUACCUACCCGCCAUCGUUUAUGUUGUGAACCGGUCAUUUUUCUUUCCUCAACUUUAUCUCCAUCUAUGUUGUCUCCCUCUCCUCCAGUGCACCGAGCCAUGACUGGUGCGCGCCCCUCUUCCUACUGGAGCAAACGGCCAUCACCACGACGAUCUCCGCGCCAAGCUGAAGCCCCACUCUUGCUCCUUGACGUCUCUCUAUCGUCGAAGCGCAGCCACCCAUAAAGGACCACUAGUAGAAAACUCGGCAUUAGUCCUAGUUGGUACGUCUCAAAUCUCUCUAAAAUUCAUCCGGAAUAAAAUUUUCGAGACAAAAGGAGGUCUUAAGUCCCAGAUCGUUCAACUGGGACUAAAGACCCCCUUUAGUCCCGGUUGGUGUUACCAACUGGGACUAAAAAGUUUUGGAAAAAAAACCAUGCCCGGCUGCCGGUGGCGUGCGCCGCUCGACCGCCGCCGACCCGGCCUCCGCCCGCGCCGAUCCCCCGCUCCGCCUCCGGCACCCCCGUGUCCGACCUCCGACUCCGCCUCCCCCACGUGCCGCAUCUGCACCCUGCCUCCCCGCGCCCGGCCUCCACCUCCGCCGCUCGUUGCUGCCCGCCCUCACCUUGCUGUCGCUCCUCACUGCCAGUGGGGAGCAAGCAGACGGGGAAGGGGAGGGGUAGCAAGAGGAGGGGGCGGCCACCCGUUCCGGAGGGAGAGGAGGAGGUGGAAGGAGAGGAGGAGGACGAGGAAGAAUAAAGGGAGAGGAGUAGAAGAAAUACUUGUGUGCUAGGAGAAGAUAAGGAGCUGUGCUGUUGGAGACCUAUGAGGAUAAUUAAUGUGGAGAGGGGGGGCGUGGGGAAGGAUGUUUUGUCACUGUUGGAGCCAUCAACCGGUACAAAAGACUCUCUUUUGUCCCAAUUGAUAAUUCCAACUGGGAAUAAAUCUUUUAUCCCGGUUGGAAUUACCAACCGAGACAAGGGGGGCGCGCCAGAUCUUUACAACCGAAACUAAAGCCCCUCCCGUCGAUGUCCUUUCGGUGCCUCAUUUUUUACCAGGGACUAAAGCCACUUUAGUCAUGGUCCAAAUAUUAAUCGAGACAAAAGAGGUGGAUAGAAGGUAAGUUCUUUACUAGUGGACCGCUCCAGACCAGAGCCAAGUGUCGCCGGAGCUCGCCUGGCUGAUUCACCAUGACCGUCGCCUGUCCGAGCCAGAAGAAGGCGUUGCAAGCUUCUUGAAGCCGAGCUGCACCUGCUCCGCUAGUUGAUGCCAUCGAUUCCCCCCUGGAGGAGCCCCGCCGCAUGAAGUUUGAGUCAGCCGCGGUCUUCACCGCCCGCCACCAAUUCCAGCCAUCUCUGUGAGCCUCCCACCUCGAUGAGCACUUCCACAAGAUCCCCUGUUACUCCUCUCCCCGAUGCGCCACCCAUCGGAACCGUAGGCCCCCUAAUCGCGCCCAGCCUGAUCGCCAUGGCCAUUAGAAGUCCCCAAGCUUUUUGCGAUUAUGUCCCUUGGUGAUCCUGUAAUAUUUAGAAACACUCCACCAUUUCAAAAGCUAGGCUGUCAAAUGGUGUUAGCUUUCCAAAAGUCAGCUUUCAGAAAGCCACCCUUCCAAGAAGCAAAAGCCAAAAGUCAGCUCUCUGGAAAGCUUGGAAAGCUAAAGCUCAAACAAACAGGGCCAAAUGGAUGGUCGUUAGAUCCGUAAAAGACUUGUUGAAUAAUUAUUGGGCUUACCUACGUGAUUAUAGUGCAGAAACCAACCUAGCAGGAAUGGAGUCAACAAUGACGUGUCCUGUGCAACACUGACGUGGCCAGGAAGACGCGGUCCAGUUGACGCAGCCAAGAUGGACCGUUACACGUUGAUCCAUUGUUAGCUAGCCCACUCACUUCACUAGCAGCAACCUCUAUAAAAGGAGAUCAAUACCGGAAUAGAGCAAUCUGCACAAGACCACAAGUAGUUAACUAAGCAUUGCAGCCAGUUAUUAGCAACUAGUGACUACUGAACAUCCAGCGUGUAGGAUGGCUGCAAGCAAGGCUAUUGUUGCUAACAAGGAGACCUGCGGCGCCUUUAAUUUGAACCUUGUUUAUGGGGCGACUUCUUUGUGAAUUGCACUCCUACCUCAUCACAGGCAUGAAUUUAUGAUUUUAUUGUAGUUGACAGCAUGUUAUAAUAUUUAGCUCUUUAGUUAUAUUGUAUUGUAUAACAAGCAGGGGUCGGAGGAGUGGAUGAGAGAGAGGAAGGAGCAACUCAAAGGGGAAGUGUGCCGAAAGUUUUAGGCUGGAAAAGCCAUGAACGUGGCCGACACGGUGAGGUUGGUGGACACGCUCGAACGCCUUGGUAUAGAUAACCCUUUCGUCAAGGAGGUUGAGAAGGCAAUAGACCGUGUCCAUGAUGAGGAGCUGGACUUUGGCAGCUCCAAUGACUUGCAUGUUGUUGCCCUCCGGUUUCGUCUUCAUAGGCAACAUGGCUUUUGGGUAUCUGCAGGUAAUAGAAAUCAGAAGCUAACAAAAGCUGAUCAGUUAUACUCGAUCAUUAUUCUUUCACAUGUUUCUCUGUUUUUCUCUUUUUUCUUGUUGCCACCUAUAACCUAUAUACGUUGAAAACUGUUUAUCAUACAAUUUUUUGUUAAGAUUUAAUUUGUGUAUAUACAUAUGUGCAUGCAGAUGUAUUCGACAAAUUUAGAGAUGACGACACCGGUAGUUUCAACAUAAAUCUAAGCAAUGACCUGAGGGGCCUACUUAGCUUGUACAAUGCUGCUCACAUGGCGGUACCUGGUGAGACGAUCUUAGAUGAUGCUAUCGUCUUCACUAGGCGCCAUCUUGAGGCUGCAAAAGGCAAGCUUACAUCUCCUAUAAAGGAACAAGUUUCCCAUGCCCUUGACAUUCCGCUCCCUCGUUUUAUGCGGCAACUAGAGACCAUGCAUUAUAUUACUGAGUAUGAGAAAGAAGAGCCACACGACAUCAUGAUGCUCGAGCUCGCAAAGAUUAACCUCAACCUUCUUAGGAGUGUCCACCUCAAGGAGCUUAAGGACCUCUCACUGUAAGUUGAUAUGUAUAUUAAUUAGUUCUUUCACCCUAUUUGUUCAUUGUUCAUUGUCCUCACUAACAAGGUGGGUCAACUAAUUCCAUGUGAAGAUGGUGGAGGGAUCUCUAUGACAGUGUGAAGCUAACCUACUGUCGGGACCGCAUCGUGGAGUCUUACUUCUACAGCUUUGGAGUGUUCCAUGGGGAGGAAAUCUCUGCUGCGCGGAUCAUACUUACCAAGGUGUUUGGGUUGUUGGUCCUGAUUGAUGACACAUUUGAUGUGCGCGCCACCUUUGAGGAGUCCCAAAUGUUAGAUGAUGCCUUACAAAGGUAGGAUAAUACCUCUAUUAUAUGCUUUUUGUAAAUGAACAAUCAAGUUUUAUCGUAUAGCUCACUUACAAAAAAAAUAACAAGGGACUCAAUAGCUGGAAUGUUGACUUGCGUAUGAAAAGAAUCUAAAAUCAUCAUUGUGAUUAUAUAUGUUAACGUUGUUUGCUGGUCGAAAUAAAGCAGUCAAACUAAUUAUUGUAUUUAUUUGUCAUAAUAAUAUGUAGAUGGGAUGAGAGCAUGGUUUCUCUUCUACCAGAGUACCUACGCAUGUUCUACAUCAAAACAUUGAGUAACUUCAAUGAAAUUGAGGAUACUUUGGAACCAUACGAGAAGUACCGCAUGGCUUAUGUCAAAAAAGAGGUACCUUGUUAUCUUAUAGUCAAAUAGUCAACUAACAGCUAUGAAACUUCUAUAGAAACAUAACAAACAUAAACUGUGGUUUAGGUCUCCUCUCAAUUUUAUUAAUCCCAACUUAUCUGGGUAAAAUGUUUUUUAUUGUGCAGUACCCGUUGCAAUCAAAAAAUUCCAUCCAACAGGCUAAAUGGUUCAAUGAAAACUGCACGCCCAGCUUCAAAGAGCAUCUAGACGUUUCACUUAUGGCGACGGGUUUGCCGUUGUUGUUCUUCACAGCUCUGAUGAGUGCAGGCCAAGUGAUAAACAAUGAGGCAUUCGAGUGGGCACUUGACAUGCCUGACAUGUUUUGUGCCAAUAUAGAAGUGGGUCGCUUCCUCAAUGACAUUGGUUCUUACAAGGCACUAUAUCGAGUUCAAAUAAUUGAUAGUCUAUCUAUUUUUAAAUAUUUGACGCCAUUACCUUUUCAUUCUUUUGACUAUUCAUCUUUUGUAUAAACAUAAACAUAUGAUGCACGAUUAAAUUAAAGCACUUUUGAUGAGAGGUCUAGUGUUGCUUAAUUAUUUCGCUUUACUUAAUGAAUUAAUUCGAUAACCAUUAUUGGUCAAAGUUUGAGAAAAAGUCACCUUAGAAUGUAUUUGGGUCAUGGAGGUAUCUAUAAGACCAUUGUUGUUAUUUUUAUUGAUAACAAAUAAUUAGAAAAACAAUGGACAGACAUGCAGUACAUUCCAAACCACUUUGACAUCACAAACAGCAAAAAAAUCUACUACUUGCUUGUAUUGCAUUGGAAAAAUAUGACAUCAUAAAGAGUACUAAUUAAAGGAUUUACUACCGGGUGGAGGCUUUACCCGGUACUAGAGGGUCACCUCUAAGUACCGGUUGGAGCCACCAACCGGUACUAGAGGACCUUUGCGGAAUCCCAAACUUGAAUCCGGUACUAAUGUCCCUCUAGUACCGAGUUCAAAUGGGACCGGUACUAAUGAUAGGGACGGGAGGUCAUAUUUCUAGUAGUGCCAGAUGGAUCUCUAUGUUACUACAUAUGCACACACCUAACAUCACAAAUACACGUAUCUUUGCGCGCAGCAAGGGAAGUGCGAGAAGGAUGUGGCCAGCACUGUGGAGUGCUACAUGAGGGAAUACGGCACGACUGGGGAAGAGGCGGUGGCAGCGAUCGCCGGGAUGGUGGAACAUGCAUGGAGGAGGAUAAACAAAGCUUGCAUGGAGGUGAAACCUGCAGUAGAGCCGGUAGUGCAAUGUUUGCUGAACACGACGAGGGUGCUAGAGGCCUACUACCUUCAUGGCAGGGACGGCCUCACCUACGGCCGUGACCUCAAGGAGCUGAUCACCUUCCUCUUCCUCAAGGACGUCAUGUCUAAAUUUGUUAUUUGCAUCUGUAGAACAUAUACUGUACUGCAUAUAUAUGCUUGUGUCGAGAAAAAAUAAGAAAACAAAUAAUAAACCAUUUUAAGGGUAAGUAAUUUAUUUUCUCUUAUUUAUAUUUUAUUUAUUUUAUUUUCGACACAUACUACUCCGUUCAAAAGACAAAUAUUAACCAAAAGAUUUAUGAUAACAAAAAAAAGAUAGCGAGUCUAUGAGAUGUCAUACUAGGGAUGCCGUAGCAUCUAUGAAAUGCACUACCCUAAAAUACCCUAAUAAAGAGAUUAUAUAAAAUAUACUUAAUUUAAACUAAAAAUAGGAUUAGAGCAUGAAAAAAAUAUUUGAGCUCAACUAGAGUAUUAUAAGAUCAAUUUAUAGCAUCGUGGUAAGGCCGGCCAAAUGAUUUCUCAAGGACAUGCCUACUGGUCAGAUCAAGAUGCUACAAAAGGACAUGAACAAUAGAAUGGAUAUGUAAGCAAAGCUCGCAAUGAUAAAUGAGGAACAAGGAUAAUCUGCAAAACAAGCUGGAGCAGGUGCACGCCAUAGAGAGGAACCAUAACAAUAAGGCAAGAAUAAUGACACGCUGAAGCCUAAGGCGAGGCGGAUAUUGGGGUACACCCAAACAAUAGGAAGAACGUUACAACAAGCGAGGAUAACGAUCGUUUCGGACAAAUGUUGCAGUAGCUAUCCUAUCAGUGAUUAAUGCCCUCCUGGGGGGGACGGUUCACCUCCCUUUAUAGGGCCAUAAAGUUACAUUUUCGUAUUCCCAUUAUACCCAUACUCAACCACUACAUCCUAAGAAUAUUCCGUACAGUACAGUAACUUGAUUCCUAUUCAAGAUGUCGCUUUCUCGGUAAAAUUACAUAUCCAACCUCUUACAAGAUUCUUAUUUCGGAGUCGUCCUGCUGUAAAGUGGUUCCCGGGCCGUCUUAAUUACCCUCUUCCUCAUUCAUAAGCUUCGUCGAGAUCGAUCGAGCUUCCGUAGACUUCCCGCCUUCUUUGGUCGAAGUCAGCUAACUUCGGCUUCUGGCCACAGAAUCUUCCCGAAGUCAAACCGCUGAGAGCUCCGUGGGGGGUUUAACUUCGCGAGUCCUUGCCUGCAAAACAACAGAGUGGACACCUUCAUGAUAGUUGACUUCAGUUAUAUACUAGCUUCGUAAAGGGGGAAGGUGAUGAGGUUAGGGUUGAUUAGGAGAGAGGGUCCCCGCCAGCGCCGUUCAGGGUGUGUUGUGGGGCAGUCCCCAACAGUAGCCCCUUCGUGGGCGAGGUCCGAGGCGCCAUCGACCGAUCCCAUGAAAAGUCCAAAAACGCCCUCAAAACGUCACCCUGAAGGGCGGCGCGGGCCAAGGCGUUUUACCGUUAUGUGAGGGUAGCAAGGUCAUUUCUUAUGUGGCGGUUAAUGGUUUGAGGCGGUUUUUACCAUGCCUAUAAAAGGUUUGCCGGGAGGGGCGGGCCAUAUUUUACGCUGUCGCUUUUGAGCUGCAUUUUUUGGCACCUUUUGCCUUCGCCGCGCAGCUUCGUUGUGCUUUAUUGGCUUCGUUUUCUUGGUGGGGUGUUGACUUCGUUUUCGUGGUAGUUAGCACCAGGCAGAGUUGCAGGCAAUGUCUUCGGAGGAGUUGGCCCUUCAGGUUGCCCCUGGUGGUGGAGGUAGCCAUGCUUCGCAGUCGGUGUCUGCGAGCAGUGGGGAAUCUGAGGGGAAGAGGUCAAAGAAGCGAAUCUAUACGAAGGAUGGUUUGGUUUCUGCUGAAGAGGGAUCUUCGGGGAGCAGUUUGCCUGAUUGGUCAUCUGAUGGGGGUGAAGGUGAAGGUGAAAUAGGCCAAGCCUCGAACGGUACAGGGGAAACCGAGGUUCAUGCUGUAUCCUCGGACGAGGAAGAAGGUAAGGGUGCCGACGAGGUUGAGGGGGAGGAGGAGGAUGCUGAGGUUGAGGUGAGGCCGGGGAAGGUUCCGUGCGUUCCUACUCUUUAUUUUGGGCGCUCCCAGGUGACUUCGCAAGACAUUACACUUUUUGAGGAGAGUAACUUUUUCCCUAAGGGGAUAGGGAGAUCCCCUGGGAACGAGGCAGUUCCGACACCUGAGGUCGGCGAAGCUGUUGUUUUUAUAGAUCUGUUUACUGUGGGGCUUCGGUUUCCCUGCAAUAGGCAGCUGCCGGUUAUAUUGGACCGCUAUCGCGUUAGGCUGCACCAGCUGACCCCCAAUGCCAUCGUGAACUUGUCUAAGUUCUAUUGGGUGCAACGCACGUUUGGUGGGAGCGUUGAUGUGGAGGGUUUCGCGAGGUUACAUGAGCUUCACAUUCAGAAGAAAAGGACUUAUUCUGAUGAUUUCAAGGGUGUUUGUGAAAAUCAUUUUGGAUGCUGUACCUUCAUGCCGCGUCGGAAGAACGAUAAGAGGAAUCUGCCGAGGGUAGAACUUACCUUCGCACAGAGGAACAAGUGGGAUGACGCGUGGCUGACGCAUUGGUUUUAUGUGAGAGUUGAAAUGGCUGGCCUCGGUACUGGAUUUCCAUUCUAUGCACAGUUUGGGGCGAUGGACGUGCUGACGACUCCUUCAUUUAUCCAGACAGCCAUUGUGACGAAGUGCAAAGCUGCCUAUAGGGUUGCUGGGCCCUUGAUAUCUAGGCGUGAUCUUGUGAAGGAGUACAUCGCCGCCCGAGCGUGGCCUUUGUCUGCUGAUUUUGCGAAGCCACUUAAGCUCGUUGAGAAGAAGGUUUCUUGGAGCGAGAAAGCUGUGCCGUUCCCUUGCUUCGAGCUUAACAAGGACGAGGUUGGCGACUUAGACCUGUUUGUACAGUCAGUGGAAGACAUGGCCUACGAGAUUUUGGGUCCGGUGACCCAGCCCGAAAGGCGCUCUUUCGAAUCUAUUGUGAGACACGGGCGGCGUGUCAAUUGGAUUUUUGAUUUUCUUGACAUCACAGUGCCACCUCAUCCCGAGGUUGUGGGCAAGAGGCGCCGUCGGGGUGCUGGUGCUGAGCAAAGGAAGAAGGUGAAAUUUGAUUCUGCUCGCAUGACGAAACUUGUUGUUGAGUCACAAGCAGCCGCGAAGGCGAAGCAAAAAACCCUUAACUUGGAAGCGUAGAAGAGGAAAGAUGCUACCGCGGGAGCUUCAUCUGCCGUGCUGCCGUCUGGGUCGAUGACUUCAUCUGUUGACCUGAGCAGGCCGGCCUAUGUUGUGCCUGUUUCCGUGCGUCCUCCUACUGAUGCGCCUUCGCCCGUAGGCCCUAGUGCUCGGACUAAAAAAGGGGCUAACAAGCCUCGUUUUGCACGCGUUAUUGUACUGGGUGCUAGUGCCGAUGCGCCUUCAGGGGCCAGCAGCAAGAUUGUACCUUCUUCCACAAGCUCAAGGCUCUUUUGGUUAAAACCGAGAGGCGUGAGGAGAGGGUAGCUGCCAAAAAGGCAAAGCUUGUGGACGCGUUUUCAUCUGAUCCUAAGGGUGCUAGUGCCGAGGCUGUUAGAUCUGGUAAGCAUGUAGAGGUGGUUUUGCUGAAGCUUCGGUUCUUUGAUUGCGGGAGGGCUUCGGCGUCCUUUUUGAGGGAUUUGGAGGCAACUAUGGGGGAGGUUGGCGAGGUUAGUUGUGAGGAUCAUGUAAGGCUGAAAGUUAAAUGUUAUGAUGUAGGUGAGAAAUUGUCGGCUGGUCUGCAAGGGCUUAACGAAGGUCUGGGCUUGAGCGAGCACACGGAAGUUCUAGCGACGUGUGCCGAAGGUAGGGUUUAUAAUCCACAUAACCUAAUUUUGGAUUGGGGGAAGGAGGGUGAGGAUUGCAAGCGCUAUGCAGAUGCUGGAGGUUCGAAGAAAGCGGAGAGAGCGGGUGCGGUGGCUUCGGGUAGGGGUAAAGAGAUUGUUCCGGUUGCCGUCAAGGCGCGGGGGUAUGAAGGUAAUAGCUGCUUGUGAGUGAUUAUUGUUUGUGGACUUCGUUGCUGUUGUGGUAUACUUAUGAUUGUAUGUUUGACUCACAGAUUUUCAGCAAUCUGUAAAGUCGAUGAGCUUGGAGGAGCUUUUGAAUUUGGAGGCCAACCUCGUAAAGAAAGUAUGGCUACUGGCCGAUUUGAUGAUACAUGUGAUGUGCACUACCUUUGUUGCAUCUGCUGUGACUUGAUUUAAUGUUUUUUGUUUCAAUUUUGCAGAUGUCUUACUCGUCUAUGAUUACAAGGGAUCGGCUUGCCAAGAGCGAGAAGUCGGCUGCGGAACUUGCGAAGAAAGUGGCUUCACUUGAAGCGACUAUUGCAGCUAUGUCCCUGGAAAUGAAGAAGGUCAAGGUCGAGAAUACGGAGUUGAAAGAGGACUCUCGCAGACUUGACAAAAAUUACGAGGCUAGGGGCGACGAACUCGAACGCUUGUCAUCACAAGUGGUGGAUCUUGAGAUGCUUGUUAAGGAGAAAGACAAGGUUAUCCAUGACUUGCGUGAAGGCGCCUAGCGGGACAGUGAGGUUUUCUUGGGCUUAAAAGCUAAGGUUGGCCAGAUGGAGCCUGAGUUAGAAACAAGGGCAAAGCUGUUGAGCCAGAUAGAAACUACACUAAGGGAGAGGUUCGAAAAAGUUCAUGAAGCUUAUAAAGCCUCCCUUGGUGUGUUUGGCGUUGAACCCGAUGAUUGCCCACUGGACGAAGGAUGUGAGCGCAUGUUCGAAUGGUUGCUAGACGAGGUCAAGAGUCUCCUCGAGGUUCUUGAGGGCCUGAACGACUACUCCGCCGUGUUCUGCCUAGAAAGCGCCCUUCACUUGCUGGAGCAACAAGGAUGCGAUCAUAUUAAAAAUAUUUCCGAGGACAGUUAUGUUGCGCCAGCUGCCCAAGAUAUUGGAUGCGCCACAAAGUCUUUUGUUGUGGAGAAUGCGAAGAAGAAUUUAUUCGAGCGCAUGUGGUCAUCCUCCGGGCAGAAAUACGUGAAGAGGUUGGCUUGCGAGCGAUUAGCUCAGCUUCGUUCGCAGCCUAGUGCUACUAAUGAAGAGGGGGAUGCUGCGGAGUAGAUGGUUUAUUCAUAGACUCGUUUUUGUUUUUUGUUUUUAUGUAAAGGUGACGAGGUCAAAUACUUUUGAUUGUGUACGAAGUUAUGCCUUAUGAAAUACUCAUGUGCCUGUGCAUUUUGGUAAAACUGAUGUGGUUUAGUUGCGCUUAUUCGUGGGCUAACUGAAAGUUUAGAUAAGUCGAAGCUGGGUUGCCAUGUGGGGCAACCCGCUGACUUAGUUGUUGCGAGAGCUGGUUGAUACAGCGACUUGCGGUCGCUUCAACCAUAAUUGUACGCGUCGCUGGAUUUACGCUGGUUGACCUCGUGCGAGGUUGGUGUGGUAACUUGUUUUUGGAAGUGGACGUGUUUGGAAGUAUUUUCGAAAAAUGUCACCCCCCCUUUUGUGACAUUGCGAGAGAGAGGUUAGAUAACUUGUGCUUGAGGACUCUCCUCUUGCGAGGUUGCAGAGACUUUCCACGUUCUUUCGAAAAAACAUCGUUGGACCUCUGCCGAGGCUGUAUACGAGAGGCUUGUUUUUUGCAUGUUGGAAUGCGAUUUUACACAACUUGUUGUUUGCUUCUCAAACGAAAUGAAACGAAAAACUCCUCCGCGCACCGGCGUGAGGUCACGCAACUUGCUGUUGCUUUUUCAAACGGGAGACUCCUCCGCGCACUGGCGCGAGGUUACGCAACUUGUUGUUGCUUCUCAAACGAAAAACUCCUCCGCGCACUAGCGCGAGGUUACGCAACUUGUUGUUGCUUUCUUACACGAAAAACUCCUCCGCGUACUGGCGCGAGGUCAUGCAACUUGUUGUUGCUUUUUCAAACGAGAGACUCCUCCGCGCACUAGCGCGAGGUUACGCAAUUUGUUGUUGCUUCUCAAACGAAAAACUCCUCCGCGCACUAGCGCGAGGUUACGCAACUUGUUGCUUUCUUACAUGGAAAACUCCUCCGUGUACCUGCGCGAGGUCACGCAACUUGUUGUUGCUUUUUCAAACGAGAGACUCCUCCGCGCACACGUGACUUGUUGUUGCUUUUUCAAAUGAGAGACUCCUCUGCGCGCUGGCGCGAGGUUACGCAACUUGUUGUUGCUUCUCAAACGAAAAGCAUUCUUAGGGGAAAUCUUUUUUCUUUCUUUGUAGAAAAGGUGUACAUGGAUCUGCCUCAUUAAAAAUCUUGCCUCCGUUAUGGAGCCCCUAGCAAGGAAAAGAGUGCAGACCAGACCCUAUGACCUUACAAACGAGGUAAGCUUAAAAGAGAAAGAAAAGGGUAAAAUCACUUUGUUGCCUUCGGCGCUGCUUAUAGUUCCGCAGGCCGGAGGUAACGUGUACAAUUAUGGGUAAUAUCUUCAUAGACUGUCGAUGUUCCAGGUGUGUGGGAGAGCGUUUCCUUGUUGGUUUGUGAGAUGGAAGGAGCCGGGUCUGCCACUCUUUGCGACAAUGUAGGGGCCUUCCCAGGCCUCUUGCAGUUUGCCUGGGUUUUCCCAAUUCUUCUUCCUUUUGAUGACGAGGUCACCGACAUUGAUCUGUCUUUCUCGAAUGCGUUGAUCCUUCCAUCUUCGGGUUUCCUCUUGGUAUUUGUCCAGGUUUUCAAUGGCCUCGUUAAUGUCAAGCUCGAUCAUGUCUUUCUCUAUUCUGGCGAUUUCGUCGACGUCGCCGUGCUUGAGGACUCUUAGGCUCUUGUUUUUUAUUUCUUUAGGUGUUACAGCUUCGGCUCCGAAUAAGAGCUUGAAUGGGGUGAAGCCUGUUGCUCUGGAUUGGGUUUUUUAUGGGACCAUAUGACUCUUGGGAGCUCAUCGACCCAUUUUCCCUUUUUCUGAUCGAAGAGACAUUUCUUGACUGCUGUAAAUAUCAUGAUGUUGGCCCUUUCCACAGCUCCGUUUGAUUAUGGGUGGUAUACGGACGAGAAUUUUAUCUUUGUGCCUAUGCUGGCGCAAAAGUUCGUGAACGAAAUGCAAUCAAACUGCUUGCCGUUGUCGACGGUUAGCUCCCUUGGGACUCCGAACCGACAGACAAUGUUUUGCCAGAAAAUUUUUUGCACCGAAGCUGAUGUGAUGACGGCAAGUGGCUUGGCUUCGGCCCAUUUAGUGAAGUAGUCUAUUGCCACCACCGCGAAUCUGCAAUUUCCUUGUACUGCUGGAAGUGGACCAACUAGGUCCAUCCCCCAUCUCUGGAGAGGCCACGAGGGUGGUAUGAGCUGGAUGGGGAGUGAGGGUGUAUGUGUUUGCCUUGCUGUUUUUUGGCAUGCUUCAUAGCUUCGUACAAGUAGAUGUGCGUCCGUGUGGAUUGAUGGCCAGUAGAACCCUUGUCGGAUUGCUUUUCCUGCCAGGGCUCUUGAACCAAUGUGAGCUCCACAGAAGCCGCCGUGUAUUUCUUUGAGCAGUUCGCUGCCUGUUUCAUAGUCGACGCACCGAAGCCAUGGUGUUGAGAGGCCUGUUUUGUAUAGCUGCCCCUCAAUGAUUGCGUAGCCCCUUGCUCUUUGCUUUAGGCGUGUGCAUUCAGCUUCGUUCUGAGGUUCAAAGUGAUCUCUAAGGAAAGCCAUUAUGCUUGCGUGCCAGUCGUAAUGCUGGAUGGCAUUGAUGGUAGCUAGAUCUUCUUCUUUGACUGAGGGUGAAGUUAUGACUUCGUAGAAUGUAUCUGGUGGAAUUGGCUCGCCUUCCGCUGCUGCCUUUGCGAGCUUGUCGGCAUCAUCAUUUUGUGCUCUCGGUAUGUUUCUGACAUCAAAUCCCUUGAAAUGUUUUUCCAUGGCUCGGACUGCCUGGAGGUAUUUGAUGAGUUCUGGUUCUUUGGCUUCGCUAUCCUCUCGAUGUGAUCACGGGAUAUCUUCGAGUCCGUUCUGAUGAUAAAUGUUUGCUGCCCUAUGGCUUCCAUUUUUCUUAAAGCCAGGAGCAGCCCCUCGUACUCUGUGGUGUUGUUGGUUGACUUCGCAGUUGGUGGGAAGUCCAGCCUCGCUGCGUACUUGAUUCUGACGCCUGUUGGCAAGGUCACCACCGCUGCGCCACCUGCUCCUCUACGGCACCAUGCUCCGUCACAGUGGACGACCCAUGGCGUUUCUAGCUGCUUUGGUUCUUGCUUAGGUGAGGUCCAAUCAACGACGAAGUCGGCCAGCACUUGGAAUUUUAUAGCCGUGCGCCUUUCAAAAUCGACGACAAACUCCGAGAGCUCAGACGCCCAUUUGGCGAUGUGGCUAGAAGCUUCUCUUUUUGAGAAGAGAUCAUGGAGAGGUUGUCUGAUUACCAUGACUAUUUUAUGCCCCUCAAAGUAAUGUCGUAGCCUCUGUGCUGCCAUGACAACCGCAUAUGCGAUUUUUUCUAGUUCAGAGUAGUGCAUCUUUGAACCGCUCAAUGCUUCGGAUGCGAAGUACACUGGUAUCUAUUUGAUUUUGCCUUCGAUUUCUUUCUCUUGGAUCAACGCAGCGCUGACAGCUGUUGCUAAGGCUGAUACGUACAGCAGCAGUGGUGACUUGGGCUCUGGUGGGCAUAGCUUCGUCAUGGAAUGCAGGUACUCCUUGAGGUCCUGGAAUGCUUUGCUUUGCUCGUAUCCCCAUUCAAAUGUUUUGGAGCUUCGGAGUGCUUUGAAGAAAGGAAGGCUUCGCUCUGCUGCUCUCGGAAUGAAGCGGUUUAGCGUUGCGACCCUGCCUGUAAGCCGUCGUACCUGCUUGAGUGAUGUUGGCUCUGACAUGUUGGCUAGCGCUCUGAUUUUGUCUGGGUUGGCCUCAAUGCCCUUCGUCGUUACCAAGCAACCUAAGAUCUUUCCCCUUUGGACUCCGAAUACACAUUUGUCUGGGUUUAACUUUAGGUUGGCUGACCUCAGGUUAGCGAAUGUUUCUAUGAGGUCCAUGAUGUGGUCGCUUCGUUUGGCGCUUUUUACGAUGAUGUUGUCUACAUAGGCCAAGAUAUUGCACCGAAGCUGACUGUCCAAGACUGUUACCGUCAUUCUUGAGAAUGUUUGGCCUGCGUUUUUUAGCCCUCUGGCAUACGGACGAAGCAGAAUGUUCCAAAGGGUGUCACGAAGCUUGUUUUGCCUUUGUCCUCUUUUUGAUUCUGAUCUGGUGGUACCCUGAGAAGAGGUCAAGUAGCGAGAGCAUUUCGCUGUUUGCAGCGUCAUCUACCACCUUAUUAAUUCUUUCGAGAGGGUAGUCAUCUUUUGGGCAGGCCUUGUUGAGGUAUGUGAAGUCUAUGCAUAUUCUCCAUUUUCCAUUUUUCUUUUUGACUGGUACUGUGUUGGCUAGCCAGUCGGGGUACUGGAUUGGCCUGAUUAUGUUAGCUUCGAGUAGCCUAUCAACUUCGGCCUUUACUGCUUGGACUUUCUCGUAGGACAUUUUUCUUAGCUUCUAUUUCAUUGGCCGAGCUCCUUGUCUGAUGUCGAGGCUGUGCUCAAUGAUUUCCCUGUCCACUCCCUUUAGAUCACCUGCGGACCAAGCGAAGAUGUCUUUGUUCUUGUUGAGGCACUCGACGAGGUCACGCUCUUCAUCUGGGUUGAGAUUCGCCCCAAUUGUUAUGAAUCUGUCUGCGAUGUAUCUGUCUAGGAGUACCCGCUUUGUUUCGCCGUCCACACUGAUUUUUAUCUUCUCUUUAUCUCUCUUAGGCUCGUUGUGGGCCUUUUGCUUUGCUAGGCUUUCGGCUUCGUUUGAUGAGGCUAGAUGGUGGACAUUCUUUUGGCCCGGGGCUACCCCUUUUUCUAUGUUCCUUGUCAUUUGCUGAUCACCGUAGACCGUUAUGACCCCUUUGAGGGCGGGUAUUUUCAUGCAUAGGUAUAGCUGUCUGAUUGUUGCGUCCAUUUUGGUGAUGAAGUCACGGCCGAGUAUUGCGUUGUAGGGGUAAUGCAUCUCUACCACGUCGAAGGUGAUGUGUUCUGUCCUCGCAUUAUCACGGUCCCCGAACGAAACUGGGAGGGCAAUUUUUCCCAAGGCCUUCACUGGCUUUCCCCCGAAGCCGAGAAGCGGGACGUCAGCUGGGUCGAGCGUGUUCAUGUCAAUGUUCAUCUCUCUAAAUGCAUUUGCGAAGAGAAUGUCCGCGGAGCUGCCUGUGUCUACUAGGACUUUUCCUACUGUCCAGCCUGCUAUCAAUGCUUUGAUAACCAUCGCAUCGUUAUGCGAGGUUGUCUUGAGCUUGAAAUCCUCCCCGGUGAAGGUUAUGAGCAUGUGUGCCCAUUCUGGCUUUGUUGGAGGUCCGUCGGGAAUGAUCACGUUGACCUCUCUGAAGUAGUUCCGCCUCUGCCUCUUGUUUUCGAACUCUAGUGAGGAGCCUCCGGGGAUUGGCAUUAUCAUUCCGAAGGUAGGUAAGGAGUUUUGGUUAUUGUUUUGUGUGUUGGGUUCCGGCUUGGGCAUUAUGGCUGGCAUGCUUGGGGGUGGGGGUAGUGUUUCUUGGGGCUUUUGAGACGGGUUUGAAUUGGGGUGCUGUGGAAUUGUUUGGUGGUAGGGCUGUAUGUGUGGUGGAAGAGGCCAAGUCAUCGGUUGUGGGAAGUUGGCGAAGCUGGGCUAGUUGUGGUAGAAGCUUGGGUGUGCGUAAAAAGCUGUGUGGUGGAUUGUUUUGGGCGCCUGCGCGUCUGCCUUCGCAGCUUCUUCCGCAGCUUUUCUCUCCUCCUUCUUUUUGGGGCACCACUCUGUGUUGUGAUGAUUCUGAUGGCCAUGGUUGACACAGUAAAAUGACUUUUGUUGUCUUCCUCGACCUCGUCCUCUGCCAGAGUGGCCCCCUCUUUGGGUGUUAUUGUUUUGGUUUUGGCUCUGGUUUUGGUUUUGGUUUCCCUCGAUGUUCAUGAUACGGUUUUUGUUUUUGUUUGGGUUUUGAGGCUUGUUGUAAGGCGAAGGUUGCCAGCUUCGGUUUUGGUUUGUUUGUCUCUCUUUGUUGCAUUCCGCCACUCUUCUGUGGUGGUCCUCAUCGGACCUGAUGUAUUCAUCGAGUUUGCUGAAGAGGGCAGUCAUAGUUUUAGGCUCCUUCCUUGACAGUUUUGACGCUGUUGGGCCGGGGGUUAGGCCCGCGAUGCAAGCGGAUAUUGCUACAGAUUCCUCAAUGUGCGGUGCUUGAGAACGAAGUUGGACGUAUCUUCUUACAUACUCUGCAAGUGGUUCCUUGUCCUUUUGCUUGCACUGAAAGAGGUCUGCCUGGGCCGUGUGAGGGUGAUGGAAACCCUGGAAAUUUUGAGUGACCUUCGUCUUGAGAUCGUGCCAGCUGGUCACCGUGUGUGGAAGGAGUAGUGAAUACCAGUUCAACGCCGCACCCUCACAAGCAAUUAUGAAAGAUUUGGCGAGGACGACGUCAUUCCCCCCGGCCGAAGCUACAGCGGCUUCGUAACUCAUUAAGAAUUGCCGUGGGUCUGUGCGCCCGUUGAAUUUGGGCAAGGUGGUUGGUUUGUAAGUUGUUGGCCAUGGUACAGUUUGUAGCCCUAUUGAGAGCGGCGAUGUUGUGUCGACCACAAGGGACACCCCCGGCGAGUGGUGCUGGGUGCCUUGGCUGAAGUUGGGGCUGGGCUGGAGCUGUGCCUGAUCGACAGUGGGACUUUGAUAAAAAUAAGCUGCGGCCUGGUUUGCAUUCUCGAGUGGGCUUUCAAGCUCCGCGACUUCUUUCUGUAGUGCUUCUAGCUGCCGCCUGGCCUCGUUCAGCUUUGAUAAUCUGGCCGCAGCCUCCCUCUGGUGUUGCACUUGUCAUGCCAACUGCUCCUUUUUUCUUUUGACCUCUUCUAUCUCUCGGAGGACUGAGUCCAGUUCGUUGUCCAGGAUGGAAGGGCCAGUAGCUUUGGGUGUUGUGGGCUGGUGGCCAUCAGUGCGGUUAGCAGCUUCAUUUGCCACAGGUUGGUGGCUUUGGUGGUUGACUUCGGCUGCGGGCUGGUUGCUCAUGGCCUUAGCCCUUAGGGCUUGUUCGACUCUUGCAAGGCAUUCCUCCUUGUCGAGGAGGACUUGAUAUGUGACUUCGGGGGCCGUGAGCUGAUUGGCCUCGUCUGUGUUGUCUUCUCUCUGAGCUGUGGGUCUUUUUUUUUCCGUUGUGGUGGCAUCGUGGGCUGUUUAACGAGUUAGACCACGGUGGGCGCUAAAUGUUGGGGUACACCCAAACAAUAGGAAGAACGUUACAACAAGCGAGGAUAACGAUCGUUUCGGACAAACGUUGCAGUAGCUAUCCUAUCAGUGAUUAAUGCCCUCCUGGGGGGGACGGUUCACCUCCCUUUAUAGGGCCAUAAAGUUACAUUUCCGUAUUCCCGUUAUACCCAUACUCAACCACUACAUCCUAAGAAUAUUCCGUACAGUACAGUAACUUGAUUCCUAUUCAAGAUGUCGCUUUCUCGGUAAAAUUACAUAUCCAACCUCUUACAAGAUUCUUAUUUCGGUGUCGUCCUGCUGUAAAGUGGUUCCCGAGCCGUCUUAAUUACCCUCUUCCUCAUUCAUAAGCUUCGUCGAGACCGAUCGAGCUUCCGUAGACUUCCCACCUUCUUUGGUCGAAGUCAGCUAACUUCGGCUUCUGGCCACAGAAUCUUCCCGAAGUCAAACCGCUGAGAGCUCCGUGGGGGGUUUAACUUCGCGAGUCCUUGCCUGCAAAACAACAGAGUGGACACCUUCGUGAUAGUUGACUUCAGUUAUAUACUAGCUUCGUAAAGGGGGAAGGUGAUGAGGUUAGGGUUGAUUAGGAGAGAGGGUCCCCGCCAGCGCCGUUCAGGGUGUGUUGUGGGGCGGUCCCCAACAGCGGAAAGCACAAAAUAAGACACUACUACAAGGUAUGAGGGCUAAGGUAAACAUAGCCGAAAGAGCCUGUGUCAAGUUUGAGGGAGGGGUCUAGAUCCAUUCCGGACAAAAAAAAUUCUAUUAGAAUAUCAAUGUGCAUGGAGAGGUUUAGUUUGGUGAUGUCGAUGGACUACAUAUGCACGGAGAUAAUGAUCAUUAGCGAGGAAAUUGGCUUGCUCAAGGCGUAGAAAAAGAAGAUGGUGCAUUAGUGUAGUUGCUGAGAAUGACAGUGGGAGUAUAUCAAAUAAAAAAACCUACACAAAAACUGGAUUAUACGUGAUAAAAAAUUUAGUAGGAGAGCAUCAAGCCGGUCCAGUUCAAGAUGUCCAUCGGCUUUAGAUUCUGAGCUAAACACACUAAAAAGUGACCACUAUGAUAUCAAAUAGUAUAGUCCAUGGAUCAGAUGUGCACCAAGAUCUUGAUCAUCAAAGAGAAAAUUGGUUUGCUCAAGGCACAAGAAAGAAGAGGGUACAAUGAUGUACUUCACCACUAUGAGAAAAAUAAGACAGAAGUCUAGAGAGAAAAAGUUGCAUGUUAUUAUUACCAAUUAGUAUGAUGGAUGAAACCAUAUUGGCCGCGCUAUUAGCACAAUAGAGCCACCUUGCUAGUUAUAUUAAUAAGGGAGUGUUAAAAGAAGUCACCAUGUUCGCUGAGAGAGUCUAGAAAUUUUCACGUUAAUCCAAAAAAAGAAAAGAAUAUGCACCGUUGAAUUUUAUGAAGAUCUAAUGGCCUAGAUUAAUCCAAAAAAAUCAUGUCAAAUACAAUUAAAAGUAUUAUAUUACUACUAGAAAGGGAAAUUAGUAAAAAAUAUAAUAAGAUAUAAAAAGGAAAGAAUAUGCAAGUAAUAAGAUACGCAACUCUAUACUUAUUUCUCAUGUACAUCAACGAGACAGCGACCAGAUGUAGCAAAAAACGAAAAUUAGCACUUGGUGGUGUUUUUCUUUUUAUAAGGAAACAAUAGAGAGACAAAUGCCACCUGACCUGAUUAUUCAUUGCAGGAAUCUUGUCUAUCAUCGCAACCUCCAUUUUUUGAGAUAAAGCAUGGAGAAAAGAGGUAUACGUGAAAGUAAAUUGUGAAGUAAUACAUUUAUUUAUUUUAUACAAUACAAUCUUUAUCGGUUACUAACUUCUAUUCUUUUGAAGUGAUACUAAUUAUCAUUUAGAGUUAUAUACUUCAUCACAGAGGCAAUAUAUUAAGGGAUUUUUUGUCCGCAGCACACCACGCCAAAUGACCAUAGUAUGAUUUUGUGAGCAGCACAUCUCACUCAUCGAUUUAGUCUAUGAGACGUUGCCAAAACAGGUAUUUGUGUGCAGCACAUCGUCUCCAUUAAACAAAACUUUUUUCUAGCUGAAAUCACAUAGCGCCCAGUAAAAUGACCAAAAAGACCUUAGAGUGGGUCCCAUUGUCAUCCCCGACCAUCUCAUUCACCCUCCGUCUCUCUCUCUGUGCUCAUUCUUCUCACCUUAGCGCGGGCUGUGCUGGCUCUUCUUGGUCGCCUAUUACGACUGGCCGGCACAGCAGCACCGGCGCCAUGGCAUGUCUGGCUGCACGCCCGUGGUGGCAGGAGAUGAGCUGCGGCUUUUGCUGCUGGUGUGGCGGCGCCGCCGGCUGUCACCUUAGCUCAUGCUGAAGUCGUGCACGGCCGCCCAACGACUCCUACGAAUCGAAAUCGCUGGUGCCAGCUUAUCCUGCGGCUGUAGCAGCCCGCAUAUUCUGUUGGAGCUUCGAUCGCGAUGUCGCAUACGUCGUCUGCAGUGCUAGCCAACUAGCAUACGUCACAUUUUUUAGGCCUAUUUAGAAGCGAGGAGGAGCCCAGCACGACUUCAUCCUAGCAGUUACAAACCAGUUACAUAGAAAUACAAGUCUUCAUCUAUAUUUGAAAGGGGCAAAUUAUCAACUAGCAGUUUGGGGAAUUCACAGAGUAGAGCGAAACAAUCUGUUUGCCCGUGGAUCACAUGUUUGGGCAAAUUGGUGAUCGCAUUGCACAACUAGCUGCUCUAAUUUAUCCAAGGCUACAACACAACUAAAAUUUAUGGAAAGAGCAGAUAGCAGCGACCGGUGAGCAGCAGGAGGCCUAGUCUGACAACGGCGAGGACGUAGCGAGGAGAGGACGAGUGGCUCAUUUAGUAGCCCAGCAGCGUAGUACACUGGCGGGGAUGACGAUGAAAACGCCCAAGACGAGAUCCGCCAUUGCCGUCAUCCACCACCCUGUGUCACCGACGGCGUCUGACGAUCGAGAUCCCCCACUCAUGACUCAAUACAGGAAUCGCGGGCGUCGGAGGGAUACCGGGAUUCGCCAACAUGGCUCAGUUAGGCCUUCUCUCGUCGAUAGCAAAGCGAAGGCAGAAAAGAAGGUUCUUUGCUUGUUGCUGUGCAGUUGGUAUCUACAUUCUUUUCCUAAAGCUGGAGCGAUUCUUCAUUUCUUCUCUGUUUCCGAAUAAACUUUGCGUGUCAUCCACGCGAUUCUUUGCUCCCCUGACAAAAUGUGGCCCUUCGUCUCUUUCCCCUACCGACAAGGAAAGCCAAAACAAACAGAGUAGCAGAGUAGCAGAUCAUCCUGGCUGCGCGAGAAGAGGUGCAUUCCUUCGUCCAUUUUAGUUGGUUGUUAGAGGGAAUGAGGGAGGCAUUUCAUUCUGCUGUCUCACUUUAUGCUACACUGCAUUUGCAGGCGUAUAUCAGUGAGAACUCUUUCUGAUCUAUUGGCUCUGGCUGCUGCUUGAAGUAAUUUUUACUCUCCAUCUCAAGGAAGAACAAGGUCAUCCUCAUCAUUCUGUAAAUACAAGAGGCUCUAAAAUUCGAAAUUUGCUUGAUUAUGAUUUGUCCACAAACACUUCCCACCCAAACAGACCAUUAAACUUGAUGCAGUAAUCUUUUAUUAUAUUGAGACUGAACAUCCUAUUUCUUAUUCUUGAUUCAAUCACCCCCUUCUAAUCAUUAUCCAUCAUUUUCUCCUUUAUAGCAGAGAUCUUGGGCCUUAUAAUUCUUUCGUGGUGAUGGGCUCAUCAUAAUUAUCUGUUUUCCAUUUCAUUAUAGUGAAUUUCUUGAAGUGAUAAAUAUUCAUCACUCUCCUUGUGCAAUUGGUAGCAUACUACAGUGAGGAAAAGCAGAGGAGGAUGCUGAGGCAAUGUGGUUUGGGAGAGAGUACUGUCUUUGUAAGAGGUGCAUUUCCUUUAUUCCUUAUGCUCAUCACUGAUGCUGAUGCUCCACUAACUGUCCCACCACUUUGCAUCAUUUAGCUCCACUGAUGCCCUGUUCAACAAUGACAUAUCUACAGCGAAUAUUGUCCAUUGGAUGGUUGGAUGGAUACUCUCUUCUUAUACAAGGUUAGGUCAUUGGAGGACGGCACUGAAAUUGCAACCUUUGCUGAGAUCCAACGCUUUUGCAAGGGGGAAGUAUUGGUGAAUCUGUACACUGUGCUAUCUAUAUACACACUUCCUGCACGAUUUCAUUUUCUCGCUGCUCAAGUGAUGUCAAUAAGAGGAGGAACAGGGAUGAUGGUUCUGUAGGAAGUGCUAUUUGGGUUUUCAACUGCCUCCUCUGUUUCUGCGUUGUUUAAUUUGGUAAGCUCAAAUUGAUUGUCUGGUCCAUAAAGGGUUCAUAUGUUUUCUUUCCUCUCUCACUCUUCAUGUACCUAGUUUUCUGCCAGAGAAUUCAUUUUCUCGAUGCUCAAGUGACGCCUCAGUACACUUGUUUUCUGCCAGAGAAUUCAUUUUCUCGAUGCUCAAGUGAUGCCGAUAAGAGGAGGAACAGAGAGGAUGCUUCAGUAGGAACUGCUCCUUGCGUUUUCAUCCUCCUCCUCUGUCUCUGCAUCAUAUCCUUUCAGUUUGGUAAGCUCGAAUUCAACAGUUAGUCCAUAACGAUUCAGAUUUCAUAAUCUUUCUGGUCCUAGUUCACGCCAGAUUUGCAUGUGUUGAUUAUGCACCACUUCAUUUUUCUUUCUGUCAGAGAGAUGAUUGAAGAGUGAAGAGAUCCCGUGCGCAACCUUGUGGAUACACCUUCCGCCUGCUGAUUAGUAGCAGCAAAAGUGUAGUUGCUCCUUCAGCUGCACAAUUCAUGUGACACAAGGAAGAUGAAGGUUUUAGCCAGGAAGUGAUGCCUCUCCAGUUUCCAGCUAUCCCUCUGCUGAUUUGCGUCCUUUAGCUCUGGUUUGCUCUGCCGCUGCUCAGGGUAUGCUUUUUGCUCUGCUCUGGGUUGCUCUGCUCAUGGUUUGUAUCAUCAUUACCAUAAGUUUGCUCAUGGUGAAUCAAACAAUCAUAGUAGAGGUUUCUUUUGCAUGAUACCAAAUAUUGUCCCAAAUAAUUACAUCAUUUUAAAGCACAACAUAAAAGGACAGAAUGCUAACUCUUUAUACUUCAUACCUCACUGUACAACUCAUUUUUGUUAAAGAACAUCAUGUACCUAGUUUAUUAGUUUGUGAUCUAUAUGGAAUGGCAUUGUGCAUACUGAAAAUACAAAGGAAAACAAUAAUAAUAAGGUGGCCCAGCAUCGUGGAUAUUUCUUAACCUACAUGCCAUGUGAAUCUUACAGUACAAAUCAAUACUAGUAUAUGUUAAUCUUAUUCAAAACACAAUUCAAUUUUUGAAAACUAUCAUUUUUAGACCAAGUUAACACAUUUGAACAUUUAUUGCCAGCCUGCAACUUGUUUGGUGGAUCUCCCUCAACAUCUUUGCAUUGUAACAUGGCAACUAGAAUAUUUUGUUGGAUCAUGUGUUAAGAAGUUGCAAGAGAUAGUUACACAUGAGGCCAUACUAAUUUUAGGUGUAAAAGAUGAGCUCACAGAACUGCAGAGAAGGAUGGAGAGAAUACAUCAAUUUCUUAAUGACGCAGAGCAAUGGAGCUCAAAAGAAUCAGAUGACAAUAAUUGUCUUGGUCAGCUAAGAGAUGCUAUGUAUGACGGUGAUGAUAUUAUCGACUUGGCUAGAUCUAAAGGAAGCAAGCUAUUACCAGAUCAUUCUCUGUCAUUAUCAAGCAAAUCUACAUGCAGUGGCUUUUCCCCCUUCUCUUGCUUUUCUAAUAUCCAGACGCGUCAUCAGGUUGCUGUCAAGAUUACAAGCCUAAACAAAAGAAUAGACAAUAUUUUAAAGGAUAAAGAAAUUUCAUCUGUCCCAAAUAUACAACCUACUAGAAAAGAUUUAGACUCGAAACUGAGAAAAAUUCCAACCUUGUUGAACCCUACCUUGUGGGUAAGGAGGUCAUACAUGCUACAAGAAAACUAGUGGAUUUGCUACUUGAACAAGGACAAGAGGUCUUACAAGCUUGCUAUUGUUGGAACAGGAGGAGUUGGUAAGAUAACACUAGCAUAGAAAAUAUACAACGACCGAAAAAUAAAAGGGUUCUUCGACAAACAAGCAUGGGUUUGUAUCUCAAAAGAUUACUCUAAAAUUACUAUUCUAAAGGAGAUUCUUCGAAAAAUUGAAGUACAAUACAUGCAAGAUGAGUCAAUUGAUGAGCUCCAAAGCAAGCUGAAAUUAGCCAUCAAUGAGAAGAGCUUCUUUCUUGUGUUGGAUGAUGUCAGGGAUUCUCAUACAUGGGCAAAUCUAUUGAAGAACCCAUUGCAUACUGCAGCCACAGGGAUAAUUCUAUUGACGUCUCGACUUGACACUGUUGCUGUAGAAAUUGAAGUGGACUAUACACACCGAGUUGAUUUAAUGUCAGUGGACGUAGGAUGUGAGUUACUUUGGAAGAGCAUGGACAUCAAUGAAGAAAAUGUAGUAGAAAAUCUGUGAGACUUAGGGAAAGAUAUUGUUCGCAGAUGUGGUUGUCUUCCUCUUGGAAUUAAGGUUAUUGCUAGAGUUUUGGCAAGCAAAGAUCAAACUGAGAAUGAAUGGAAGAAGAUUUUAAGAAAAGAUGCUUGGUCCAUGAGCAAACUUCAUAGUGAAGUAACACGUGCCUUGUAUCUAAGCUAUGAAGAUCUACCACACUGUUUAAAGCAGUUUUUUAUGUAUUGUGCCAUGUUUCCUGAAGAUUCAGUUAUUUUCCGUGAUGAUAUCGUGAGGAUGUGGGUGGCUGAAAGGUUCAUAGAUGAGCAAGAUGGACAACUACUAGAAGAUACAGCUGAAGAAUACUACUAUGAGUUGAUAUGUAGAAAUCUCUUCGAACCAGAUUAUUCUGAGGCUGAUCUUAGUCGAUGCAGAAUGCAUGAUCUACUAAGGCAGCUUGCUUGUCAUUUAUCUAGAGAGGAAUGUUUUGUUGGUGAUCCAGAAUCAAGAACAGUUAGUGUUGUGAGUAAAUUUAGACGUAUUUCAGUUGUCACUAUGAAGGAUAUGGUGGUGUUACCUAGCAUAGAUAAGGAGCAGUAUAAAGUGAGAACUUGGAGGACAUCAUAUGAAAAGUCAUUAAGAGUUGAUAAUACAAUAUUAAGAAAACUUCAAUGUAUUCGAGUUUUGGAUUUGACUGACUCUCCAUUAUACAAGGUAUUCCAGAUUGUAUUGGAAGAUUAAUUCAUCUACGGUUACUUGAUCUUGAUGGAAGUGACAUAUCUAGCCUUCCUGAGUCCAUUUGUUGUCUCAUAAACCUUCAGAUACUGAACUUGAAUCGAUGUGUUGCAUUGUAUAGUCUCCCUCUAGGAAUAACUCGGUUAUGUAACCUGAGACGCCUUGGUCUUGCUGGAUCACCAAUAAAUCAGGUUCCAAAAGAGAAAGCUAAACUGAAGUUUCUCAAUGAUUUACAAGGAUUUCCUGUUGGUGGUGGCAGUGAUAAUAGUGCUAGAACGCAAGAUGGAUGGAAUCUAGACGAGCUGGGUCCUCUUUCACAGCUGCGGAAGCUUCGUAUCAUUAAGUUGGAAAGAGCAUCUCCUUACAGUACAGAUUCAUUGUUACGAGACAAAAAAUUUCUCAAACUAUUAUAUUUAUAUUGUACAGAACGUACAGAUGAUCCAUAUUGUGAAGAAGAUGUAAUCAAUAUUGAGAGGACUUUUGAGAAGCUAAUCCCUCCACGGAGCAUUCAAGAAAUAAUGAUUGCAGAUUUUUUUGGUCCGAGGUUUCCUACCUGGCUAGAUACUGAUACCUAUUUUCCAUCACUGAAAUACUUGGUUCUCCGGGAUUGCAAAUCUUGUGUGCAUCUUCCUGCAAUUGGGCAGCUCCCCAACUUGAAAUAUCUAAGAAUCAAGGGAGCCACUGCAGUCACCAAGAUUGGACCUGAAUUUAUUGGCUCCAGGGUGGGUAAUUUCGGAUCUCCAGAGGCAGUUGCUUUCCCCAAGCUUGAAAUGUUGGUCAUCACGGAUAUGCCCAACUGGGAGGAGUGGACCUUUGUAGUUGAAGAAGAAGAAGCAACAGCAGCAGGUAAGGAAGAUGGAGAGGAUGGAGCUGCUACAAAGCAAAAGGUAGAAGCUCCAACUCCAAGGAUGCAGCUGCUGCCUUGUUUGAAGGACUUGCGACUUGUCAACUGUCCCA